AUCUUUUGAGUAUGAAAAGUACACUUGCCUUCCAAGUAAGAGGUUUAAAUGAUUUUAAAGAAGAUA
rnacentral:tRNA from 1 species